rnacentral:lncRNA from 1 species
CUUGUCCAUGCCUAUGUCCUGAAUAGUAUUGCCUAGGUUUUCUUCUAGGGUUUUUAUGGUUUUAGGUCUAAUAUUUAAGUCUUUAAUCCAUCUUGAAUUAAUUUUUGUAUAAGGUGUAAGGAAGGGAUUCAGUUUCAGCUUUCUACAUAUGGCUAGCCAGUUUUCCCAGCACCAUUUAUUAAAUAGGGAAUCCUUUCCCCAUUUCUUGUUUUUGUCAGGUUUGUCAAAGAUCAGAUGGUUGUAGAUGUGUGGCAUUAUUUCUGAGGGCUCUGUUCUGUUCCAUCGGUCUAUAUCUCUGUUUUGGUACCAGUACCAUGCUGUUUUGGUUACUGUAGCCUUGUAGUAUAGUUUGAAGUCAGGUAGUGUGAUGCCUCCAGCUUUGUUCUUUUGGCUUAGGAUUGACUUGGCAAUGCAGGUUCUCUUUUGGUUCCAUAUGAACUUCAAAAUAGUUUUUUCCAAUUCUGUGAAGAAAGUCAUUGGUAGCCUGAUGGGGAUGACAUUGAAUCUAUAAAUUACCUUGGGCAGUAUGGCGAUUUUCACGAUAUUGAUUCUUCCUACCCAUGAGCAUGGAAUGUUCUUCCAUUUGUUUGUAUCCUCUUAUUUCAUUGAGCAGUGAUUUGUAGUUCUCCUUGAAGAGGUCCUUCACAUCCCUUGUAAGUUGGAUUCCUAGGUAUUUAAUUCUCUUUGAAGCAAUUGUGAAUGGGAGUUCACUCAUGAUUUGGCUCUCUGUUUGUCUGUCACUGGUGUAUAAGAAUGCUUUUGAUUUUUGCACAUUGAUUUUGUAUCCUGAGACUUUCCUGAAUUUGAGACUGAACAUUUUAUUAAUCACUUACUGAAUCACGG